UACGAAGGGGGCUAGCGUUGUUCGGAUUUACUGGGCGUAAAGCGCACGUAGGUGGAUUGUUAAGUCAGGGGUGAAAUCCCGGAGCUCAACUCCGGAACUGCCUUUGAUACUGGCAAUCUUGAGGCUGGAAGAGGUUAGUGGAAUUCCCAGUGUAGAGGUGAAAUUCGUAGAUAUUGGGAAGAACACCGGUGGCGAAGGCGGCUCUCUGGACCGAGACUGACGCUGAGGCGCGAAAGCGUGGGGAGCAAACAGG
rnacentral:rRNA from 1 species